UGGGCAAAAGUCCGCCUGAACA
rnacentral:miRNA from 1 species